UACACAUGCACUUCCCCUCUGAGAAGGUACGCCGCUAUUUUACUGACCUUAACUAUAUAGUUGAAGACUCUAAGCAGGUCAGGACAAGAAGAAGACGAUGCAACCGCAACGAAGGAGGCAAAUCAUCAAGGACAGAUGAGCAGACUACGAAGGAGAAGUGGUAAGGUCUGAAGACAUACAGCUUGAACAGAACUCUCCUGAGGAGACCAUAGCACUGAGUCAGAUGUGGAGAGAGAAGAUAGUUAUACAUGAAGAGGAGGCGCCGCCGGAACCACCGACUACGCCAUCCAGCGAAUCCCAGGACAACAGAGAAAAUGGAGAGUCCCGUUCGGAGGACUUAAAAACACCGAACGUCUUGCCAAGAGGUAAACUUGGUAGUUAUCUUUUUCCUUUCAAUUAUUUAAAAUAGUUUGCUUAGUUAAUCAGAUUCAUAUCAUUUUGAAAAGAAAAUAAAAAUGUUAAAAAUAGUAAGCCCCAUGUGAGUAUGCUCAUGGCAUAAAACUCAUAAGUACAUUCACUGUGGUGGCAUAAAAAUAAAAUAAAUAUAUUUCUGUCCUACAAAAAUAAAAAUAAAUUUAUGAUCCUACCAAAGAGAGUAAUAGUUAUUAGAGGAAGCUCAAUAUGAUAAAGGCAAAGAGAAUUUAUGCUAACACUUAACAGUUCCACAAAGCUUUGUUGUCUAUUUGAGCUCCACAGAAUUCAAGGAUCAAAGAAGACUAGCAGACGGAGGACAUCCUAAUCGCUGUCAGGGUGCUGCCGACAUUCAUAUACACCUCCGUCACCUGCUAGCUGCAUCAGAAGAAAUUACGUCAAAAUCCAGCUUGGGGGAGAGCACCCCCAUUUAUCCAGCUAAGUGUUUCUACUCGCGUUUAUACUUUACUCAAAUAAUAAAAAGAUGCAUAAUCAUGAAAACCCAAAUAAAAAUUUUGUGCUUAAAUAUAUCUUUGCUUACUUUGCUAAAUAAAUAAAUAAAGUGUCUAGGCCAAACUGAACCCUCAUGAUAAACUCUUAUAUGGAUAUGAUAAAUAGUUGCUCUGCCAUGUACCUAGUUUUUAAGUUUGAGCUCUCUCUCAAGUUUAGGCAUAACUGUUAUAAUUUAAACCUCCUCUAAACCUAAACUUGUGGGAAGAGUACUUGAUCUAAAGUCUAAGUCGUUAACGAAUAUGAUAUGAGAAGGUUGAGCUGCUGUUUAUCUAUUCCUAGAGAUGCUAGAAUUCUGGAGAAUUUUAUCUUUGAAAAUCUUUAAAAUAACACAUGAUGAGUUCCUGUAUGAUGAGAGUUUAAAUUUCUACCACAGCCAUAUAUACAUGCUUAUUAGACUAUGAACCAUAUAUUUACUUUUUACUGCUUAUGAGCAUUGAGUGUGGUCCAGCUGUGUAGACCCUUAGGAGCUUGUCAUGCGGUUAAAAUCAAGAUUCACUUGCACGUUCACUCAUACAUGUUGCUUCUACUCCGGAAGUACGUAUCCACAUACAUCCACUCAUUUAUAUCUCUAGAUUCACCUAAAAUUAUUCUACUCCUAUCUGGAAGAGAAUAGUCAAAAAUAUUUUCCUAUCCUUGUUAUUCCCUGUGAAAUAAAUGCUCCAGUUAUUUUGGUUACUACCACUUGCCACAUUAUUCCAGGAGGGUGAGUGCUCUAAAAAAUAAAUAAAAAAAUACGAGGAAAUAAAAAGGGGCAAGUGUUCGGAACCUCGAAGAAAAGAAAAAGUGAGACGAAAGGUAAAAAUGGACAAGUGUCCGACAGUAGAAUUAGGGGUACAAGAUACCAACCUGAGAGAAAAAAAAGAGAUGAGAAAAUAUAGAGCAUCUCAUUCUCCUCAAAAAGCUUCAAAGUGCAAGAAAGGUAUGUAUCCCCUCAAAAGAGCAAAAGAAUUAGACUUUCACCAUUGUUAUCACCAUCAUCACCAUACACCAUUCAUUCGCCACACAUGCACAUCUUGAUUUGACUUAUUGACUUGUUCUUCUGGAUCUAUGGUUUGACUAUGCAAUAAAUGUCUUAUAAGUAUGUAUUAUCUGUCUCCCACCUAUGAGCUCCAGAUAUCAAAACCUUAUUAGAGUAGGGUGAGAGAGAAGCCAAUAUUACUAUGCCUCAUACCAAAAAUACCACAUACUUUGAGAGAAGGCAUAUACCAUUACUGCCUUGGAAAGGAUCCAGAAAUACCACAAAGGAGAGAUUUGAGAGAGUCAUACAAGGAAUCUCUGAGUUUUAUUUGAAAAUCUACAAAAACUCCAGAACUAUAGUUGAUCA
rnacentral:lncRNA from 1 species